rnacentral:rRNA from 1 species
AUUGAACGCUGGCGGCAGGCCUAACACAUGCAAGUCGAGCGGAUGAAGGGAGCUUGCUCCUGGCUUCAGCGGCGGACGGGUGAGUAAUGCCUAGGAAUCUGCCUGGUAGUGGGGGAUAACGUCCGGAAACGGGCGCUAAUACCGCAUACGUCCUGAGGGAGAAAGUGGGGGAUCUUCGGCCCUCACGCUCUCAGAUGAGCCUAGGUCGGAUUAGCUAGUUGGUGGGGUAAAGGCCUACCAAGGCGACGAUCCGUAACUGGUCUGAGAGGAUGAUCAGUCACACUGGAACUGAGACACGGUCCAGACUCCUACGGGAGGCAGCAGUGGGGAAUAUUGGACAAUGGGCGAAAGCCUGAUCCAGCCAUGCCGCGUGUGUGAAGAAGGUCUUCGGAUUGUAAAGCACUUUAAGUGGGGAGGAAGGGCAGUAAGUUAAUACCUUGCUGUUUUGACGUUACCAACAGAAUAAGCACCGGCUAACUUCGUG